UACAGAGGGUGCGAGCGUUGUCCGGAAUCACUGGGCGUAAAGGCGCGUAGGUGGCGACCCAAGUCGAUGGUGAAAGCUCGCCGCUCAACGGCGAGUCGGCCACUGAUACUGGGUUGCUGGAGCACUGUAGAGGCAGAUGGAAUUCCGGGUGUAGCGGUGGAAUGCGUAGAUAUCCGGAGGAACACCAGUGGCGAAGGCGGCUAUCUGGCCUGCAACUGACGCUGGAGGCACGAAGGCUAGGGGAGCGAACAGG
rnacentral:rRNA from 1 species